rnacentral:misc_RNA from 1 species
CCUGAAUGCAUGCUCAUGUUAUUGCCAAGUCAAAACUAACUUCUGUCGCGCUUAUACUUGAAUUGAUGAGAGAAUGACUGGUUGUAGAGUCGCAUAGAUGUGCAUGACAAAGAAAUAAGUUACAUUUGUGCUAGGCAAAGCUAUAUGGAAUUGAAAUUGUUUGCACUCUGAUAAUGUGUUGUUAAAUAGAUCAUGAGCUGAUGAUGAUGCCAUUGAUUUUGCUUAUGAUCCACUUUCCGCGCC